rnacentral:lncRNA from 1 species
GGAAAGCCACUUGACUGUAAGGAGAGGACAACCUCUUGUUCCUGCUCCUCUUUCUUCGCUUCGGGGAUGGAGGUCCUACCCUCCUAUCUCUUAAAGCUUUUACACUUGACAGUUCCCCUGACCACCCGGACGACCGGAGUAGAAGGGGGAUGCCCUUUAAUUAAGCAAAGAACACACCGAAGCUAGACAGAUUGGAAAAGCCC